CCUGCUCAAUGUACAAUAAAUAGCCGCAGAAUUCUGUGCUAAGGUAGCAUAAUAAAUUGUCUUUUAAAUGAAGAAUAGAAUGAAGGAUAUACGAAUUAUUAACUUUUUAAUUUAUACUUUAUAAAAUUUAUAAUAAUGUAAAAAAUCAUUAAAUAAAAUAAAGGACGACAAGACCCUGUUGAACUUUACUAAAAGUUAAGCUGGGGUGGCUAUUAAAUAAAAACUUAAAUACAUAUAAUAAAAUAACUAUCAAAAUAAAUUCAACAAGUUACCGCAGGGAUAACAGCACAAUAAAAUACAAAAGUUCAUAUAAAAUAUUUAUCUUGUGACCUCGAUGUUGAAUUAUUAAUACUAAUUUAAGAAAAAAUAAAUAAAGUAUGUCUGUUCGACAUUUAUAAUAAUACAU
rnacentral:rRNA from 1 species